rnacentral:tRNA from 1 species
AGGAAUUUAGGCUAAAAAGACCGAAGGCCUUCAAAGCCUUAAGUAAGUAUUUAUACUUAAUUCCUG